ensembl:lncRNA
UAUAAAUAGCCAUUUGGGUGGUGGAUCUUCCCCAGUCAAGUUUGCUUCUGUGAGCUGAAUUCCUUUGGCAACGUCUGUCUGAGGAUGUUCUUAAAUGAAAUUGGACGAGGAGGAGGAGGAGAAGGAGAAGAAGAAGAAGGAGGAGGAGGAGGAGGAGGAGGAGGAGGAGGAGAAGAAGGAGAAGAAAGUCUUUGUGUUAGCUGUUGGAGGGAGCACAAAAAAGUAGUCACCAUUGACUGUGGACAUCCUGCCUGUUUGCCUUGUCUCAGGGCAAAUCACUAUCGAGCUUUUGGCUGCUCACAAUGCCUGAAAUUCUCCCAGCUGAAAACUCUUCAGGCAGACAUUGUCAUGUACCCUGAAGGAGAAGACCAGUGUGUGAUACACCUGGAAGACCAGAAGUUUUUCUGUGACUUUAGCUUGACUCUACUCUGUGUGACCUGCUCGAAAUCAGAGGAGCACGUGCACCACAUGCACUGGCCCAUUGCAAUGGUUGCUCUUCGCAGUAGGAAGGAUAUUCAGGAAAAGAUAAACCUCAUUAGGCUUCAUGUAAAGGUCUUUGAGGAAUUUCAACUUAAAGAGGAGAAACCCUUGGCCUGGGCUGUGGUGUGGGCUAACUCUAAAUAUAAGGACAGAGACAUUUUUGAGGAAAAAAUCUAUGGAAUAUGGGAACACCUGCAAAAGAAGAUGGAGACACUAGACAUGAAAGAACUCAGAGUGGGAAAGGGGAAUGAGAAGUUCAGUGAGCUCUAUCAGAAGCUGAAGGAGAUGGAAGCUAUAUGGGAACAGGACAUCAUGAAGCAAAAAAGGGAAUGGGAACCCAAGGUGUCCAGAAAAAUCAGAUAUCUAAAAGACAUAACCAGAGAUUUUGAAGAAAAGAUUCAGAAAUCAAACGUGGAACUAUUAAAGGAUUUGUUCCGUGAGAGUAGAAGCAUGUUUGUAGAUGCAUAUUUGGAACCUUUCAUUCCACAUAUGAAUGAUUUGUAUCUCAUUGUGGUAAAUGAAUUUUUAGAAUUCUUUCAUACAUUUGGACUGUGGCAGCCCUGGAAUUCAUACAAUCUUCUUGAAGGAGAAAAGAAGAGAACUAUUACAUGUGUACCUGGAUCCUCAGGAGAGACAUAUGUUAUUUAUAAUAUUGGCAAUUUUCACAAGGACAAUGUUAGGAUAAGACCCUUCUCAUUGAAUAAUUGCUUUCAGAGUAGUAUUUUAGAAGAAAAACACUCUCCAAUUAUUAGCAAUCUUGUAGAGAUAGAAUUUUAAUUUAGAGUUUCCUAAGUGUGAAUCCUGUCAAACUGCCUUAGGUGGAACUUUGAGCUAAGGUCUUGCUUGGGAAUUCUGUGAGACCUGAGGAGGUGGAAAUUCUGUUUAAUAAAACUGUCUCUCUCUCUGCUGGUGUUCCCUGC